GGGGAUGAAAUAGUCUCGACAGUCAGGAUUUGACUAGAAUACGCAUGUAGUAGUAGGUGCUACUUUAAAAACCAAAAGUCGUUAAAUAUAAACGCAAACAACAACAAUACAAUGGCUGUUGCCGCUUAAGGCAUGCCCGUCGACCUGUCCAAUCCGAAUGGACAGCCAUCGGCGUCGUAAAUUCGGAGAACGGGUACAUUUGUGUUCCAGAAAUGUGCCGGCAACAAUGGGACUAGCCAAGAAAAAGUCGUUAGCAGACUUUGAUUGGUGAAAUUGAUUGCUAACUAAACAUGUAGUGUAUUCAGCAAAUGCUCGAUUGGACAUGGGUGCAACUCCCAUCAUCUCCACCA
rnacentral:tmRNA from 1 species